rnacentral:rRNA from 1 species
AGUGAGGAAUAUUGGACAAUGGGCGCAAGCCUGAUCCAGCCAUGCCGCGUGCAGGAUGACGGUCCUAUGGAUUGUAAACUGCUUUUAUACGAGAAGAAACACUCCUUCGUGAAGGAGCUUGACGGUAUCGUAAGAAUAAGGAUCGGCUAACUCCGUGCCAGCAGCCGCGGUAAUACGGAGGAUCCAAGCGUUAUCCGGAAUCAUUGGGUUUAAAGGGUCCGUAGGCGGUUUAAUAAGUCAGUGGUGAAAGCCCAUCGCUCAACGGUGGAACGGCCAUUGAUACUGUUAAACUUGAAUUAUUAGGAAGUAACUAGAAUAUGUAGUGUAGCGGUGAAAUGCUUAGAGAUUACAUGGAAUACCAAUUGCGAAGGCAGGUUACUACUAAUGGAUUGACGCUGAUGGACGAAAGCGUGGGUAGCGAACAGGAUUAGAUACCCUGGUAGUCCACGCCGUAAACGAUGGAUACUAGCUGUUGGAAGCAAUUUCAGUGGCUAAGCGAAAGUGAUAAG